rfam:HIV-1 isolate TRTR35 from Truguay, complete genome.
GGACUCGGCUUGCUGAGGCGCACGGCAAGAGGCGAGGAG